rnacentral:rRNA from 1 species
UGGGCAACCUGCCCUGUACUGUGGAAUAAUCAUUGGAAACGAAUGACUAAUACCGCAUGUGGUCCUCGGAAGGCAUCUUCUGAGGAAGAAAGGAUUUAUUCGGUACAGGAUGGGCCCGCAUCUGAUUAGCUAGUUGGUGAGAUAACAGCCCACCAAGGCGACGAUCAGUAGCCGACCUGAGAGGGUGAUCGGCCACAUUGGGACUGAGACACGGCCCAA